UCAUGCUGGAUGUUUGAUCUCUUGGUUGGUGGCACCUUAAAAUGUUGGAGGGCUCAAUGUGGCUGUGAACAGACGACUCACUACCGGAAUAAUGUUAUAUGCCUACGGCCUUAUCUAUGCCGACGGCUGCCGUAGGCAUAGAUGGAGCUAUGCCGACGGCCUGGGGAAUACCGUCGGCGCAGAAAAGCCGUCGGCAUAGCUCCAUUUAUGCCUACGGCAGCCGUAGGCAUAGUAAGGCCGUCGGCAUAUAUCGAUCUAUGUCUACGACAGCCGUAGGCAUAGUUAGGCCGUCGGCAUAGAGGUGGCCCUCGUGGCCCAGGGACAGACGGCGGGCUGACACCGUCAAAUCUAUGCCGACGGCCCGGACGGCGGCCGUCGGCAUAAAUAUCAUCUGUUUUUUUUAUUAGGAGCUGCCACGUGGCAGAGCUAUGCCGACGGCAAAGCCGUAGGCAUAGUUUUCCAUCUAUGCCUACGGCAAGGCCGUAGGCAUAGCCUCGCCACGUGGCACCUCCUGGUAGCCCCUAGCCAAGAACUAUGCCUACGGCUAUGCCGUAGGCAUAGAUAUCAUUUGUUUUUUUAAAUUAUUUUUAUGUUUUUAAAAGUUAAAAUUUGAAUAAUUUAAAUCUAACUUAUCUAAACUUAAACAUACACAAAUUAUACAUCUACUUGGGGUAGAAUUUUCCAUAGAUUAUGAAUAUACAGUUAUUUUUGUUUUUGAGUAUGUUAGAAAUGUGACCUCAUGUACUUUUUCAUAUAGGUCCUUAUAGUUUGUUAAAAUCAUAAGUAAUUGAUACUUGGAUCGAUUUUGACAAAUUUUAUAUGGUUUUUUAUCAGAAUCUUGAAAGGAUUAUGUUGCUAUACUAUUUUUCAAAUUUGAACAAACUUAAAUCAUGUUUGCUUCAAAUUUACAGAAAACACCCUUUUGUUUUGAAUUUUUUGUAUAUUUUUCAUACCUUGGCCAAUCAAGACAAAUUUUAUAUCUACAUCCAUCAAAUUGUUUCAAGGAUUGUGGUGGCAGGCGCAAACACCCGGCAACCGGCUCCGGAGUGUGACUCCUUCAUGGAUGGCGAUGCCGUCGACACUUGGAGGGGGAAAACGACCACGUUGGGUCGAGACGGAGGGAAUCUUAUGGUGGGUUUGGCCCAAACCUUGUUCUCAAGUGUUCCUAUGGGCUGACCUAUCAUAACCAGGUGAAAACGUCUGUUGGUCAAAUCCUGUAUGACAAAAGUCAAAGGCGUAGAUCUCCAGGUCAAUUAGUCUAGGGUUAGGCUGGUUGGGGGCCUUCGGGGGGUAGCAAUGCCACCAGAGCAUUUGAUUCGGAGCAGCAGGCAUCCUCCGUGGAUGAUGACGACAACCAGGGCAUCCACCGCCACGACGACACCCCGCACAUGGUCCAACUCGGCUACAACCUCCUCUACCGCGCGACUGCGGCCGCGGUCGUGUUCGGCAUCGACUACAACCUCCUCUCCAGUGAGUCAAUCUCCUACCUCUAGCUCCCUCUCUUGUGCUGCUAUAGCAGUACCUUGCUCUGUUUCAUGCGCAUGGGUGAUUUUGUUUGUGCUUGUCGUGCUUGUGCCAUGAGAAAGAUCAUUCCUAUUUACAGUGAUGAUGAUUCAGAGUAGCACACUUGUUAAAUUCUGCUCUUGUACUACCUCAUUUGUGGUUGUUGGUUACUGCAGCUAGGUUUUGUUAGCUGUUGGUGUUUAAUCUAGCUAGCUAGUAGUGUUGGCAGCUAGCUAGUAGUGUUGGCAGCAAGCUACUCCUGUACUAGUAGUUCAUCCAUAUGUGUAAUUGAUCCUUCCCAGUAAUUGAAUAAUGUGAAGAAAUCCUAUUGUAUCAGCUAUGCAGUGCGAACAUCAGAUCAUUUACAAUGAAAAUCCUUGUUUCCCUCCCGGUAGAAGUAUUUCUUGUAACAUUUUGGUGAUUUCCCUUUGGUAGAUGCAUUGUAUAUAUUACAUAUUCAUCCUUAUGUGUAGGAUCUUUGGUUCAUUAUACUGACUGCAUGCCACCUCUGUCAUCGCUGCCCCGUCUCCCGCACCAUCGGCACCGCCCCUCCGCCUUCUCCUUUGAUGCUGUAGUGGAUUCUUAGAAUGAAAAUGUUGUGUACAUCAAAAAUAUUACAUGGUCUGUGUUUGCAAAACCAUGGUUGUUGAAUCAUGUCUUAUAAUUGUAUUGGAAAUUGCUAGCCUUUUUGGCUAGUAUUUUUUUAGUGGAUUCUUAGAAUGAAAAUGUUGUGUACAUCAAAAAUAUUUUAUGGCCUGUGUUUGCAAAUCCAUGAUUGUUGAAUCAUGUCUUAUAAUUGGAUUGGAAAUUGCUAGCCUUUUUGGCUAGUAUUUUUUUUGGUUUUGGUUCGUAAGUAUGCCUACGGUUAAACCGUCGGCAUAGAUAUGCACAGGGCUACCCAGGGCCUGCCACAUGGCAGGGAUAUGCCUACAGCAAAGCCGUCGGCAUAGGUGAAAAUCUAUGCCGACGGCUUUGCCGUAGGCAUACCCUCCUGCCAGGAGUCACCGCAGGCCGCCACGUGGCAGAGAUAUGCCGACGGCAAAGCCGUCGGCAUAGAUUUUCACCUAUGCCGACGGCUUUGCCGUAGGCAUACCUCUGCCACGCGGCGGCCCGUGAUUCGUUAGCGCUUUUGACGGCGCCGUCCGUUGCCGUCAUGUGAAAAUCACUGCCGACGGCUAAACUAUGCCGACGGCUAGACGAAAGCCGUCGGCAUAGGCCCCUAUGCCGACGGCUAAAUUAUGCCGACGGUCUGACAAGACUACGCUGACGUGAUCUACGCUGACGGGGCUAUGCCGACGGCAGCCGUAGGCAUAGAUGUAUGCCGACGGGAAAUGGCCUAUGCCAACGGCCCUGGGCCGUCGGCAUAGGUGGCGAGUCCGGUAGUGACUACUCCUUGAUGAUGUGUCAUUAACUUGCAAAACAUGAGGAAUUAAUCGUGUGAUGUUGUCUUCAGUGAUCUUUAUAGAUGUUGACCAACCGCAACGGUGCUUGGUAAAAUGUACUUUGUUUUGUGAAAAUAUUGGUGAUGAGAAGAGCCUGUUCAAGUUUUAUUGCCCUUUGGUUGUCCAUUUGUGCCUUCAAUAAUGCGCUGUAGUGCAUCCGUGUAGAACUAAUCUAUUAGCUUUUUUUUGGACAAGACGUUAGACUUUUUCUUCAGAAAUUCCUAUGCCUGUGUGCGUACUUGUCACUCUGCCCCCUGCUGCAAAAAAACAGUCAUAUUUUCUUUUGGUACUAAUACUAUGUUCUAUAUAAUGCAUAAAGUUCAACUCUGAUAGUGUGAUGUAGAGGUGCAGAGCGGCGCCCAAACUUCGGAUUUAGAGUGCUUGCUUAGUUUAUUGAUUCUCUGGCCCGCAUUCUUGAUUCUGAAGUGUAGGAAAAGUUAUUCACUCUGGUAUGCCUGCAUACUAAACUUCAAUAGAUAUUAAUGCACCAUUCUUUUGCUGGACUUGUAACAAUGAAUGGGUUUACACCAAAACAAUUCUAAAAAUGCUUCCUAGUCCAGUAAACUACUGAAUACCGUAUUCUUCGUUUUGAGGUAGAUGGUGUACACUGUCUUCAUGAAUUAUUUAAAUCUUGCAAUACAUGUCAUUUCUUAAUUCUUCCUUGUAGCAAAAGCUACUAUUUUGUGCAAGGUGAGAUAUAUAACAAUUGCUUCAUUUAAGUGUCUCCACCUUUUAUCAGUUGUUUUCUUACCCACAAUUGUCACUAGUUUAUUGACUCAUUGUUCUCAUAGGAAUUACCAUUGGUGGUGGAAAAGAUCAAGCUGAACUGUUGAACAACAGUUGAGAUGACUAUGCUCUUACAUCUGCUGAUACACUUUGUUGGUUGAAGAGGUGAUAGGACACCCUCUGUUAUUAUGUGUCUAUUAUUUUGUUUGCAAGCCAGGAAUCGAUAUUCUCUGCAGCGGUAAAGAAAAUCCAUUUCUAUGCACAAUACAACUAGAACCUUGAAAUAUGUGACUAUAUUGCCUAGUUUGACCUUAUUCGCCUUUUCUCUUGGAGCUGUAAGACACUCCUCCUGGAUCUGCACAGUUAAUAGUUUAUUGUGCUGAUAUGCUAUCACAAUGCAUUUCAUUAUAUCAGACAAUUUUUUAUCAUUUCUUUGAUAUACUUCUGAUGCAUUGUUGCAUUAGUCACGAGCUGGAGUCUGCAUUUGAGAAAACACAAUGACUAAAUCAAUCUUCAGAUAUGAACUCAUGUUCCCAUUGUGUGGGUUCAGUAAAUCUCAACUUGCUACUAAUCAUAUUGAGCGAAAAGUAUUACUAGAAAUCAAAUGUUGCCCCUCUGCNNNNNNNNNNNNNNNNNNNNNNNNNNNNNNNNNNNNNNNNNNNNNNNNNNNNNNNNNNNNNNNNNNNNNNNNNNNNNNNNNNNNNNNNNNNNNNNNNNNNNNNNNNNNNNNNNNNNNNNNNNNNNNNNNNNNNNNNNNNNNNNNNNNNNNNNNNNNNNNNNNNNNNNUUGAUAAUGUUGCUUGAUGCAGGUUCUAUUCUUUGUAGCCAUGAAGCGGAAACAACUUACUCAUGCUGGAUGUUUGAUCUCUUGGUUGGUGGCACCUUAAAAUGUUGGAGGGCUCAAUGUGGCUGUGAACAGACGACUAAUCCUUGAUGAUGUGUCAUUAACUUGCAAAACAUGAGGAAUUAAUCGUGUGAUGUUGUCUUCAGUGAUCUUUAUAGAUGUUGACCAACCGCAACGGUGCUUGGUAAAAUGUACUUUGUUUUGUGAAAUAUUGGUGAUGAGAAGAGCCUGUUCAAGUUUUGUUGCCCUUUGGUUG
rnacentral:lncRNA from 1 species